rnacentral:rRNA from 1 species
AUGAACGCUGGCGGCGUGCCUAAUACAUGCAAGUCGAGCGAACAGACGAGGAGCUUGCUCCUCUGACGUUAGCGGCGGACGGGUGAGUAACACGUGGAUAACCUACCUAUAAGACUGGGAUAACUUCGGGAAACCGGAGCUAAUACCGGAUAAUAUAUUGAACCGCAUGGUUCAAUAGUGAAAGACGGUUUUGCUUUCACUUAUAGAUGGAUCCGCGCCGCAUUAGCUAGUUGGUAAGGUAACGGCUUACCAAGGCGACGAUGCGUAGCCGAACUGAGAGGGUGAUCGGCCACACUGGAACUGAGACACGGUCCAGACUCCUACGGGAGGCAGCAGUAGGGAAUCUUCCGCAAUGGGCGAAAGCUUGACGGAGCAACGCCGCGUGAGUGAUGAAGGUCUUCGGAUCGUAAAACUCUGUUAUUAGGGAAGAACAAAUGUGUAAGUAACUAUGCACGUCUUGACGGUACCUAAUCAGAAAGCCACGGCUAACUACGUG